rnacentral:rRNA from 1 species
AUUGAACGCUGGCGGCGUGCCUAACACAUGCAAGUCGAGCGGUAACAGGUGUAGCAAUACAUGCUGACGAGCGGCGAACGGGUGAGUAAUGCUUCGGAAUCUGCCCAUGUAGUGGGGAAUAACCAGCCGAAAGGUUGGCUAAUACCGCAUACGACCCUUGCCCACAAGGCAAAGGUGAAAGCAGGGGAUCGCAGGACCUUGCGCUAUUGGAUGAGCCGAAGUCGGAUUAGCUAGUUGGUAGGGUAACGGCCUACCAAGGCGACGAUCCGUAGCUGGUCUGAGAGGACGACCAGCCACACUGGGACUGAGACACGGCCCAGACUCCUACGGGAGGCAGCAGUGGGGAAUAUUGGACAAUGGGGCAACCCUGAUCCAGCGACGCCGCGUGUGUGAAGAAGGCCUGCGGGUUGUAAAGC